rnacentral:rRNA from 1 species
GAUGAACGCUGGCGGCGUGCCUAAUACAUGCAAGUCGAGCGAACAGACUAGAAACUUGUUUCUAUUAUGUUAGCGGCGAACGGGUGAGUAACACGUGGGGAACCUACCUAUGAGACUGGGAUAACUUCUGGAAACCGGAGCUAAUACCGGAUGAUAUCUUUAAACGCAUGUUUCAAAAUUGAAAGACGGUCUUGCUUUCACUUAUGGAUGGAUCGGCUCUUCAUUAGCUAGUUGUUAAGGUAACGGAUUACCAAGGCAACGAUGCAUAGCCGCCCUGAGAGGGUGAUCGGCCCCAUUGGACCGGGAACAGGGUCAAGCUCCCUCCGGGAGGCACCAGUAGGAAAUCUCCGGCAAUGGGCGAAAGCCUGCCGGAGAAACGCGGGGUGAGUGAUAAAGGUCUCGGGUUCUAAAACCUCUGUUAUUAGGGAAGACCAUAUGUGUAAGUAAAUGUGCACCUAUUGACGGUAACUAAUCAGAAAGCCACGGCUAACUACGUG